GACGAACGCUGGCGGCGUGCUUAACACAUGCAAGUCGAACGGAAAGGCCUGCUUUCCCUUGUGGAUUGCGGGUACUCGAGUGGCGAACGGGUGAGUAACACGUGAGUGAUCUGCCCCCAACUUGGGUAUAAGCCUGGGAAACUGGGUCUAAUUCCCGAUAGGACUGCAGGGUGGUGCCUGUGGUGGAAAACGAUUUUCUAGUGGUUGGGGAUGAGCUCGCGGCCUAUCAGCUUGUUGGUGGGGUAAUGGCCUACCAAGGCGGCGACGGGUAGCCGGCCUGAGAGGGUGGACGGCCACAUUGGGACUGAGAUACGGCCCAGACUCCUACGGGAGGCAGCAGUGGGGAAUAUUGCACAGUGGGCGGAAGCCUGAUGCAGCGACGCCGCGUGGAGGAUGACGGCCUUCGGGUUGUAAACUCCUUUCGACCGCGAGGAAGCCACCUGGUUGGAAGGGUGGUGACGGUAGUGGUAGAAGAAGCACCGGCUAACUACGUG
rnacentral:rRNA from 1 species